rnacentral:rRNA from 1 species
UACGUAGGGCGCAAGCGUUGUCCGGAAUUAUUGGGCGUAAAGAGCUCGUAGGCGGCUUGUCACGUCGGGUGUGAAAGCCCGGGGCUUAACCCCGGGUCUGCAUUCGAUACGGGCUAGCUAGAGUGUGGUAGGGGAGAUCGGAAUUCCUGGUGUAGCGGUGAAAUGCGCAGAUAUCAGGAGGAACACCGGUGGCGAAGGCGGGUCUCUGGGCCGUAACUGACGCUGAGGAGCGAAAGCGUGGGGAGCGAACAGG